UACGUAGGGAGCAAGCGUUGUUCGGAUUUACUGGGCGUAAAGGGCGCGUAGGCGGCAGAUCAAGUCAGUUGUGAAAUCUCUGAGCUUAACUCAGAACUGUCAACUGAUGCUGCUCUGCUAGAGUGCGGAAGGGGCAAUCGGAAUUCUUGGUGUAGCGGUGAAAUGCGUAGAUAUCAAGAGGAACACCUGAGGUGAAGACGGGUUGCUGGGCCGACACUGACGCUGAGUGCGCGAAAGCCAGGGGAGCAAACGGG
rnacentral:rRNA from 1 species